rnacentral:lncRNA from 1 species
UCAAAUCAAAAUAUUAAAUUCUUCUUUAUUCUUUACAAUUUUAUCAUAAAAAAUAAAAUCCAUAAAACAAAUACAAACACAUACAUACACUUUCACUAUAUUUUUUUCCUUUUUCUUUUUUUUUUUUUUUUUUUACAUCCACACUACAAAAUACAAAUUCAAAACUAAACAAAAAUUACAUUAAACAAUAUUCAAAAAUUACAAAAAUAACCUCCAAAACAAUCUGUAAUUACAUGGAAAUCUUUCUGGAACUGCAGGAACAGUGGCGGCGCGUGGUCCCACGCGCAGCCUCAGGAAAAAGCCAGGCACCCGGUGGAUCCGGCCGGCUUUCUUCUCCUCUUCCCUUCUACAUCGGCGGUGAGAAGCAAGGUCACUUGCAAAGCCAAGAAAAUGCAACAACCAGUUGGUUUUAGUUCUGUUUUAGAUCUGCUUUUAUUUUAUUUUUUUCUGUCCGUUGUUCCUUUCUUCUUCCCCGGUGGCAGAUCUGCUGCAGAGUGGCUGUUCGGUCGGCAGCUUCUGUGUAGUCUGCCAUGUUUGGGCUGCUGUGGGAGGCGAUGAGCUAGGUCUGCUGCCGGCCGGUUUGUGGAAGAGACCGAAGGAGAAGAAGAUCUGUUGAAAUGGGGGGAAGCUCCGCUGGCUGAGGGGCUGGUCUUGGGUUGGUGUUGGCUAGGAGGCUUCGGUGGAAGCCGGUCGGUGCAGAUGAGGGAAGAUCCGUGGUCGACGGUGAGGGAAGAGGCGGUGAUCUGUGGGCUGGAAGGCGGCGUCCUCGGUGGCGAAGAAGAGCAACAGGGAAAGGAGGGGAGGCUGAGAGGGCUCAGGGAUCUGCGGCUGAGAGGGGGAAAUGGAGACUUGUGAGGGGAAGGGCCCUCUGAUUUUCAAACGAAAAUAGAGACGCGGCCAAGAGAGGGUUGAUGGAGAUCAGGGGUCGGUCCCGGUGCAGGGAAAAAGAGAGGGUUAGUGGCGAUGUGAAGUGGGGUGCUGGAAGUUGUGGUUGCUCUGGUUUUGUGUUUGGGCAAAAAAGGGGUGAACGGCUGCCGGAUGGAUGGGGGGCAGCUGCUGGCUGUUUUGGUGGAGAAAAAUCAAAACCGGGUAGGGGCCGCUGUUUGGAAAAAAAAUAGGUUUAGGUUUAGGGUUUGAGUUUUUUUUUUGGUUUUUUGUGAUUCUUUCACUUGUGCAAAAUUGACCCCCUUUUUGUGUGUUUUGGAGACCAAUAUUUAUAGGUAAAAAUAUUGCUUGGGCCGCAAAAUUGGUCCCUCAACUUUUUUUUUUUUGUAAAUUUGAUUUUUCUUGUUUUUUUGGAUUUUCUUAUCAACAUCGCCUCGAAUGAGGAAAAUCAGUGAUUUUAAAAAUAACGCGUUAAAAAUCGAACGCGUUCCAAAGAUCUUCGAAAAUUUAAAUUUUUUUGAGACGAUGUUGAAAAUGCUAAAAACGAUGCAAAUAUAUUAAAAAAACUAUUUUUUGGAUUUUUUUGUUGUUUUUUGUUAUUUUUGGAUUUUUCAACAAUUUUAUUAAAACAAGGGUCAAAAAUUGAGUAACAACAGAUGCCCCCUCUUUACAAUGCUUACGAAGCAAAACUCCUCAAUGUUUUGCAUAGUAAGCUUUGUAAAGAAGAAAAGGAAAAGGAAAAUGAUCUCAUUAUUUUGGGCGACCUGCCCCUUUUGAAGAAAGAUGGUCUAUUUUCAGGGGCGACCAGCCCACACACUCACACGGUCUAUUUUUCAUGGACGACCUGCCCUCAAACUCACACUGGUCUAUUUUCACGGGCGACCUACCCAUACAUGUUCAUCAUGGUCUAUUUUCACGGGCGACCUACCCAUAAAUGUUCAUCCUGGUCUAUCUUCAUGGGCGACCUACCCUUCCACUCACACUGAUCUAUUUUUACGGGCGACCUACCCACACAUGCUCAUCCUGGUCUAUUUUCAGGGGCGACCGACCCACAUGGUCUAUUUUCAUGGGCGACCUGCCCUUCCAUUCACAUUGAUCUAUUUUCACGGGCGACCUACCCACACAUGCUCAUCCUGGUCUAUUUUCAGGGGCGACCUGCCCACAUGGUCUAUUUUCAUGGGCGACCUGCCCUUCCACUCACACUAAUCUAUUUUCACGGGCGACCUACCCACACAUGUUCAUCCUGGUCUAUUUUCAGGGGCGACCGCCCCACAUGGUCUAUUUUCAUGGGCGACCUGCCCUUCCACUCACACUGAUCUAUUUUCACGGGCGACCUACCCACACAUGUUCAUCCUGGUCUAUUUUCAAGGGCGACCGGCCCACACACUCACACGGUCUAUUUUCAUGGGCGACCUGCCCUCACUUCAUCCUGGUCUAUUUUCAGGGGCGACCUGCCCACACACUCACACUGGUCUAUUUUCAGGUCGCUCAGGGGCGACCUGCCCACACUUCAUCCUGGUCUAUUUUCAGGGGCGACCUGCCCACACAUGUUCAUCGUGGUCUAUUUUUAGGGGCGACCAGCCCACACACUCACACUGGUCUAUUUUCAGGGGCGACCGGCCCACACCUGUUCAUCGUGGUCUAUUUUCAAGGGCGACCGGCCCACACACUCACACUAGUCUAUUUUCAAGGGCGACCUGCCCACACAUGUUCAUCAUGGUCUAUUUUUAGGGGCGACCGACCCACACACUCACAUGGUCUAUUUUCUUGGGCGACUUGCCCUCACACUCACAUUGGUUUUUUUUUUUGAAAAUUUCCUAAUGGUAGGGUUCUUCUCACUUUUCUUUUCGUUUCAGGGUCACAACAAUGAUUCUCUUUUAUUAUCAGCUCAAUGAUUCUUGUUUUCUCUCUUUUUUUCUUUUUUUUAAUCUUGCUGGACUUUUUUUUUUGGAUUUUAUUGUAACAAAUAAACAUAUGUGUGCAAUGCAUGCAUCCUUACCUGAUUUGAAAUAUAGGUCCCCCCCUCUUUGAUGUUCAGUCGUCAUAGGGUGCCUUUGUUUGCUAACCAAAGCCUUCUUUGCUCUUCCCAUGUACUGGCUCAUUCGUGUGCUAGCCUUCCACUCAGAUGUAAGUGCAGUGCCCAUCUUGGGCUGUCCACGAUGAUUACUGCUCUCGGUUGUUCUCAAGCUUGACCAUGCUUCCAAGUGUGGUGUUGCUCGAUUCAUCCUGAAGGAGUUGAACAAAUCAUCCAUCUCCUAGAUUCUCUUAAAAAUUGUCCUUUGAUUUGGUGUGCGUGUUUUGUCAACACCCCUCAAGAGGUUUUCUGGUGUUUAACCUCAUUUUAGAUUGUCAAUCAGUCAUGGACUUGCCCCCAAUUGAAACAUACCAUUCAAGUAUAUAUGGUCACCAUCCUUCAUGGAACUGCCAAGUCAUCCAGACAUGGAUCUUAUACUUUGCAAUAAAAGGCUCAUCGUUGUAAGCUUAUUGUUCUUCUUCAUGGUUCUUCUCAGCUCGUCAAAUCAGAUCAUGAAAAGAAAUGUAUUGGCAUCAUCAAUGAUGUUUAUUUUAUCACCCAUAUUCAUGUGGUAAAGUGCACUUUUGAUCUUCAAAACAGAUGGUCUCACAAUCAGUCCUGAUGGUGUGUAUCUUUUCAACAUUCAUAACAUUCAGUCGUGUGUCCACAUCGGUCGAUAACCAUGUUUAAGAGGUAAACCCAGAUAAAGAUGUCCUUCAAGUGCAAUUGCACUCUCAUUUGCUGCUAGAGUUCACUAGAUCUUGACUGUCUUUGAAUAAUAUUGCCCCCAGUGUGAUCUGAAUGUGUUUGUUCAUUGAUUAUCUUUCUUUGAGCCAUAUUGUCCUCCGUUCACAGAUUCUUCAUUUAAUCAUCUUUCUUUACCCCCCAGCUGAUCUGAAUACCGCUUGUUUUUUCUUUUUAGGGUCCACUGUAUUGCCCCAAGGUGUCUCAACUUUUCAAGGAGUGUUGAGAAGAGUUGAUGUCAUUUCAUGUCAAGGAUUCCGCAGACUCAAUCAAUGUUCUUCUUUGUUCGACAAUCUUUCUUGUUCUGGAAUCAAAUCUCAUACUUCAAAGGUCAUGUCUAUUCAAGUCUAAUUGUUGAAAUGAAAUCAGAGAGAUAUCACUUUUGGAAAAGAUCUUUUAAAAAUCAAGUUUUUUUAUCAAAGACCCAACACACAUCAUUCAAUGUAGUAAUCUUUUCGUUGUCUUGUAUUUUGAAAACAGAAAUUGACCCGUUGCAAGAUUAAAAUGGCCUUUCCCAUGGUUCUUUGUGUCCACUUUAAACUAUGAUUUUGGGUAUAUCUUUUUGAUGGUCUGUGAUGAGGUGACAUUUUUGUGAAUUUCACAAACAAGAUGCUCAGGUUUUAUCAAGAAAGGUUGUUUCUUUUCUUAGCAUUCAUUUUAUCAACAUGCAUAAUAACCUAUAGCUUAAUUCAUGAAGUCACGACCCUUAUAGAAAAGCUCUUCUAGUUUUGAGAGCGCCAUUUAUUGGUUCAGAUUGCUUACUUGAUCAAAAAGGGCUUUUAAAAGCAUGUAAUGCAGGCUAUGGUUCAUGGCUAUGAAAGAAAGGGAAAUUCACAGGCUCAAAAAAAGUGUUUGAGGGUUUCAAAGACUUAGGAUCAACAUCAACUAUUCAUCAAUUCUCUUUCUCUUGUUGUCUUUGUAGAGAAAGUGACAUAUAACCUUGUUAACCUCAAAGAUCAGAAUUCUCUUAACAUAGGUCAUAAAUCAAAUCCAACUUCUUCCUUGAUGAAUAACCAAUCUACUCAUUAGAGGCUUUAUCAUUGAUACCAAAAGACAAUAUUUGUAACUCAAUUUUUUUUUUUCUGGUAUUGACUUUUGGCUUAUGCUGUGUCUUUUCUUAAUUGAAACCUCUUUUGCUCUUUUUAGACUUGAUAGGCGUUCUCCUUCCUUAAUCGUUGACUUGCCUUUAAUUUUUUGUUUUUUUUUUUCAUAACCUUCCUCAAAGUUUUCUCACAUGCCCCCAGUCUAUGGUUUCCUUCUUUUAGCCUUCUCUUAAUUGUUGGACUUUUUUCUUAGCCUUCCCCCUUAUCCAUUGAUUCUAACAUUGUCUUCAUCUUUGCUAACAAAAAUCUCUUAUUUGCCCCUAGUGUGGGGUGUGAUCCUAGUCAGGGUUUCUUUUGAAAAGAAAUAUUUUAUCAGGCUCAAAUGGGGAUUGCAAGGGAUAUAUAUCUUUAGAAAGUGAAGGGAUGAACAAAGAUGGCCUUUUCUCAUUUCAAGCAAGGUCAGUUAGAACCAAUAAAUUUUGACCUCAUCCAGUGUAAUGAUUUGGACUUGUAAGAAUCAUGAUUCGUGAGUCCGUAACUACUGAAUCCUCUACAUGUCAUUAUGCAUACUGCUAAAAUUUAGCUACAUUAUGGGUGGUUCAGUUUCAUGUGUGAGCUCAAAAUUUGUUUGGUCACAUCUUAUUGUUUAUCUUGCCAUUUUAACAAAUAUCGAGUCAUUUCUGCAAUCAAAAUACUUUUAAUCUUUUAGGAUUGACUAACCUUAAUUUUGCAUGUUGGAGUUUGAUCAAAAUAAUUUGUCAAUAUACCCUUUGAAAGAAGCAUCUCUUGAUUUCAAAACAACAGGAAGACAAAGGAAAGACAUGUUUCAUUCAAAGAUGAGAUGUAACCCCAAAACAAAAUGCAAAAAUGGCAAAAUUCCAUAACAAAAAUGAUUGACAAUUCAGCACCAUCCUUGGAUCAGCUUUUCUGGCAAUGUUUGUGCUUGGCCAAGCAUUUUUUAUCUUUUAUCAAUCUGAGGAUGUUCUGGUGACAAUAUGGUUGAUGACAUCAUCAAACUCAACUCGUUUCUUGCUUACCACGAUCCGGUCUCGAUUCUUGAAAAUUUUGCAACUAUUCAAACGAAUGGCCCAAGACCCCACCAUGAUAUUCACAUUUCUUGUCUGGAUUAUACCACCUAGAAACAGUGGUUGUAUGGAAUUUAACGGAGUCGAGGCAACAAGUCUGGAGUCUGACAUAUGCUGGUAGACAAAGUCGAGUGGCGGAGAUAUGUCAAUCUUAGAAAAGAUAUUUGAACAGCUGAUGCUACAGUGAGACAUGGCUAAAUCAUAUAAAUAACAUUUUCCACCUUCAGAGUUAUCUUCCGAUUCAUCUCUCAUCAUUGUUCUGGAAUCCAUGGCAGAACCUUCAAUCUUUCCCCUCAUUAUAGCUUGUUCAACUCUUUUAGCAAUCCUCACAAUCUUAUGCCAAUCUUUUUUUUUUUUUGCUUGUUGUGGUUGUUUGAAGAUUGGUGGAAACCUUUCAAGGUUGUUAAGUAUCCUGGUAGCGCACAAAAACUUGCAGUACCACCACUGCCGACGUGCGGAAUCACGCGUUGUCUCAACUGGAAGAGAACUUGCUGAAUUUAAAACUCUUCUGUCUCAUCUUCGAUUGCUCAUAGACAGUGCAACAAACAGACACCUGUAGAGGGAGUUCUCCUUUAUUGCAGUUUCAGUCUUCUUCUUGUCUUUCAAUUUAGGUCUGUCUCUUCUCCCUACUUUUGUGUUUUGAUUCUAACACUAGUAGGAGAAAAUUAUAGAUGAUUUGAAACUACUGCAUCCCUUCUUGGAUUCUCCACUUGCAGAUCCACAAACAAAUUUCUGUAGAGAGAGCUCUGCCACGUGGAAGUUUGAUGUCUGCUCAUGUUUGUCAGACCGGGUCCGGCUCUUCUGCCUACUACAAUGUUUUGCUGGUGCCACUGGUGGGAGAAAGUUUCAAUGCAUAUACAACUACUACAUCCUCGCUUGCAUUCCCCACUGGCAGAAUAAAAAACAAAUCUCUACAGAGAGAGCCUGCCACAUAGAAGUUCAGUGUAUAAUCAUGGUUUUAAUUUUUUUUUUUUUAAGACCAACAUCUUGUGCCACUGAACUGGAAUUGAGCUCAAAGUGGAGGUAACUUCAAAGAAGACUAAUGCACCAUGCACCGAAAGCUAACAAUUAUUUGGUGCCAUUAGAAGAUGUGGAGGCGAUGAACAAUUAACAGUGCAACUGAACAAGAACAAAGGCUGUCAUUAGCUGAUGACUGAAGACAUUGCUGCUGUUGUUCAUUACUGAAAAGGAGAGGUGCAACUUUAAUUGGACUGGACAAGUAGUGUUCCCACAGAAGACUGUGCAGACAUUCCAUUUCCAUUUGAUGCUCAACACUUGUUCAAGCAGAUCUGAGUCUAGCUACUUCACCUUUAAUACUCUUAACUUCAUUUUGAUAAUGAGCCUCUAUCUGAUAUCUUUCUUCAUUUCGAUCAUCUUUUUUCAAUCACGUGUAGCACAGCUUGUGUGGGGGAACCUAUCUUUCAACCCGGUACAUGCAUGAUAAAUGUAUGAACAUGUAAACUAUAUGAUGAACUCGUCCUUCGAGGGGUGACAUAUGGUCGUAACUCUUGUAUGAUGAAACAAGAAUCGUGAUUCUUGCCCAAACUCUACAAUGAAAAUUUUCUGAGUGACGACCAUUGGGUCACCCACAAGUCUUGAGUUCAAGAUGCUUCAAGAAGGGUUUGCCCUGAUGCAAAUAAAAAUAGCACAUACAACCUAAGGACAAGGUCUAUUCAUUAUGUGAACAUGGGUAGGUUUUCUACCUGGUCUCAAAAGAGUCUCAUAUCUGCCUAGUGACGAUCUUCGUAAAGACAGUAUAGGGGCGUUGCAAGAAAUGGUUAAGGCACGUAUACCACCAUUACCAAGCAGGCACUCAGAUAUGAGUUCGGUUUUUCACGCAUCUGAACCCUGGCCAAUAAUCAUAGGGCAGAUCGCUAAUUCACCACCUAACUUAGAAGCUUGUGUGUGCUUUCAAAAAUAAAUACAGGUGAUGCAUGAAACAAUUCUAAAAAUGCAUGGAUAAAACAAAAAUAAAACAAGAAAAAAAUGCAAAAACUUAUAUACAUCAAAUACACAAAGCUUAGUCCAAUAUUGUUAGAAACAGUACCUUCCCCAGUGGAGUUGUCAUUCUGUCGCAUGUCAAAUCCGUGCGGCGUCGGCUGGCGAUUUUUUUCUUUUCGUUUGUUUGAUUGGUUUGUUGGGAGUCGCCACCUAGUAUUUAAUUGAGGGCAACUAGGAAACCCGGGUAUGUUGGUCUUGUCAGAGAUUCACAGGUAAGGGACUGGUUGUGGUUAGGGAAGGUAUUAGCACCCCUAACGCACCCUACAUGAGGUAAGUUACUUCGUGGCUUUGAUGUGAUAAAGAAGUUUUAAAAAUUUUGUUCUUUCAUCGGGUAUUAGAAAUACGACUUACGUGUAAAUUCAUAAUUCUUGACCGUGAUCAAAUCAAAAUAUUAAAUUCUUCUCCUCUUCCCUUCUGCACCGGCGGUGAGAAGCAAGGUCACCUGCAAAGCCAAGAAAAUGCAACAACCAGUUGAUUUUAGUUCUGCUUUUAUUUUUUUUUUCUGUCCGUUGUUCCUUUCUUCUUCCCCAGUGGCAGAUCUGCUGCAGAGUGGCUGUUCGGUCGGCGGCUUCUGUGUAAUCUGCCAUGUUUGGGCCGCUGCGGGAGGCGAUGAGCUAGGUCUGCUGCCGACCGGUUUGUGGAAGAGACCGAAGGAGAAGAAGAUUUGUUGAAAUGGGGGGAAGCUCCGCUGGCUGAGGGGCUGGUCUUGGGUUGGUGUUGGCUAGGAGGCUUCGGUGGAAGCCGGUCAGUGCAGAUGAGGGAAGAUCCGUGGUGGUCGACGGUUAGGGAAGAGGCGGUGAUCUGUGGGCUGAAAGGCGGCGUCCUCGGUGGCGAAGAAGAGCAACAGGGAAAGGAAGGGAGGCUGAGAGGGCUGAGGGAUCUACGGCUGAGAGGGGAAAAUGGAGACUUGUGAGGGGAAGGGCCCUCUGAUUUUCAAACGAAAAUAGAGACGCGGCCAAGAGAGGGUUGAUGGAGAUCAGGGGUCAGUCCCGGUGCAGGGAAAAAGAGGGGGUUAGUGGCAAUGUGAAGUGGGGUGCUGGAAGUUGUGGUUGCUCUGGUUUUGUGUUUGGGCAAAAAAGGGGUGAACGGUUGCCAAAUGGAUGGGGGGCGGCUGCUGGCUGUUUUGGUGGAGAAAAAUCAAAAUCAGGUAGGGGCGGCUUUUUGGAAAAAAAAUAGGUUUAGGUUUAGGUUUAGGGUUUGAGUUUUUUUUUUUGGUUUUUUGUGAUUC